rnacentral:lncRNA from 10 species
CAGGGACCCACUCUCCUCUGGGCGGUCUCCAGUCCUCUCUUGUAAGGAGGUGCCCCGCCGCCUCAUUUCGGCAGCCUCAGGGGUGAGGAACCGAGACCUACCUGGUGUGAUGAAUAAACCCAGACUCUCAGCAAUGUGGAAAGAAACUGGCCGGUGACCUGGGGUAAAGGAUCCUUACAUACCACGUGGACCAGACAACAUCACGCACAAGCCAAAGAAGGAAACAGCGGAGGAGCUGGUAAAGUAUUCCUUUGGUGGUAGGGACUAAGGAAAGAAAAACUGCAGGGGCAGUGAAACAUUCCUUGGUUGGGACAUACCAAGGAAAAAGAAGCCGUAGGGGUGGUAAAGCAUUCCUUAGCCGGGACUAAGGAAAGAAAAACCACAGGGGGCAGUGAAGUAUUCCUUGGUCGGGGUAUCUUGGGGAUUAAAAAGAGGCAAGAUAUUUCCGGUAAGGGAAAUCGAGCCUCGCCCCAAAAGGUGAGACAUUUCCAGUGAGGG